rnacentral:rRNA from 2 species
CGGGUGAAAUGCGCAGAUAUCAGAAGNACCNCCGAUGNCGAAGGCAGAUUUNUGGCCCGUAACUGACGUUGAGAAGCGAAAGCGUGGGAACGAACAGGAUUAGAUACCCUGGUAGUCCACGCCGUAAACGUUGGGCGCUAGAUGUAGGGACCUUUCCACGGUUUCUGUGUCGUAGCUAACGCAUUAAGCGCCCCGCCUGGGGAGUACGGCCGCAAGGCUAAAACUCAAAGGAAUUGACGGGGGCCCGCACAAGCGGCGGAGCAUGCGGAUUAAUUCGAUGCAACGCGAAGAACCUUACCAAGGCUUGACAUACACCGGAAACGGCCAGAGAUGGUCGCCCCCUUGUGGUCGGUGUACAGGUGGUGCAUGGUUGUCGUCAGCUCGUGUCGUGAGAUGUUGGGUUAAGUCCCGCAACGAGCGCAACCCUCGUUCUAUGUUGCCAGCGCGUUAUGGCGGGGACUCAUAGGAGACUGCCGGGGUCAACUCGGAGGAAGGUGGGGAUGACGUCAAAUCAUCAUGCCCCUUAUGUCUUGGGCUUCACGCAUGCUACAAUGGCCGGUACAAAGGGCUGCGAUACCGUAAGGUGGAGCGAAUCCCAAAAAGCCGGUCUCAGUUCGGAUUGAGGUCUGCAACUCGACCUCAUGAAGUCGGAGUCGCUAGUAAUCGCAGAUCAGCNACGCUACGGUA